GAAGGUGUGCUGUGAGGCAUGCUGGAGGUAUCAGAAGUGCGAAUGCUGACAUAAGUAACGAUAAAGCGGGUGAAAAGCCCGCUCGCCGGAAGACCAAGGGUUCCUGUCCAACGUUAAUCGGGGCAGGGUGAGUCGACCCCUAAGGCGAGGCCGAAAGGCGUAGUCGAUGGGAAACAGGUUAAUAUUCCUGUACUUGGUGUUACUGCGAAGGGGGGACGGAGAAGGCUAUGUUGGCCGGGCGACGGUUGUCCCGGUUUAAGCGUGUAGGCUGGUUUUCCAGGCAAAUCCGGAAAAUCAAGGCUGAGGCGUGAUGACGAGGCACUACGGUGCUGAAGCAACAAAUGCCCUGCUUCCAGGAAAAGCCUCUAAGCAUCAGGUAACAUCAAAUCGUACCCCAAACCGACACAGGUGGUCAGGUAGAGAAUACCAAGGCGCUUGAGAGAACUCGGGUGAAGGAACUAGGCAAAAUGGUGCCGUAACUUCGGGAGAAGGCACGCUGAUAUGUAGGUGAAG
rnacentral:rRNA from 2 species